UACGAAGGGAGCUAGCGUUGUUCGGAAUCACUGGGCGUAAAGCGCGUGUAGGCGGUUCGGUAAGUCCGCUGUGAAAGUCGGGGGCUCAACCCUCGAAUGCCGGUGGAUACUGUCGGACUAGAGUACGGAAGAGGCGAGUGGAAUUCCUGGUGUAGCGGUGAAAUGCGCAGAUAUCAAGGAGGAACACCAAUUGCGAAGGCAGCUCGCUGGGACGUUACUGACGCUGAGACGCGAAAGCGUGGGGAGCAAACAGG
rnacentral:rRNA from 1 species